rnacentral:rRNA from 1 species
UACAGAGGUCUCAAGCGUUGUUCGGAUUCAUUGGGCGUAAAGGGUGUGUAGGUGGCGCCGUAAGUCGGGUGUGAAAUUUCGGAGCUUAACUCCGAAACUGCAUUCGAUACUGCCGUGCUUGAGGACUGGAGAGGAGACUGGAAUUUACGGUGUAGCGGUGAAAUGCGUAGAUAUCGUGAGGAAGACCAGUGGCGAAGGCGGGUCUCUGGACAGUUCCUGACGCUGAGCACGAAGGUCAGGGGAGCAAACGGGAUUA